rnacentral:snoRNA from 1 species
CGCGUUGAAGAGGAAGAGUUGAUCACCUACAUGCUGCAAGGUCUCGGCCCCGACUACAACUCCCUCAUCACAAGCAUCACAACACGCAGUGAUCCUUACACGAUCAGUGAUGUGUAUGCCCACAUGCUUGACUUCGAGA